rnacentral:rRNA from 1 species
AUAUUGGUCAAUGGAGGCAACUCUGAACCAGCCAUGCCGCGUGCAGGAUGACGGUCCUCUGGGUUGUAAACUGAUUUUGUACAGGAAGAAAAAGAGUUCCGUGUAGCUUAUUGACGGUACUGUCAGCAUAAGGAUCGGCUAACUCCGUGCCAGCCGCCGCGGGAAUACGGAGGAUCCAAGCGUUAACCGGAAUCAUUGGGGUUAAAGGGUCCGUAGGCGGCCUUAUAAGUCAGCGGUGAAAGUUUUUGGCUUAAACAAAAAAUUGCCGUUGAUACUGUAGGGCUUGAAUUUUUGUAAAGUAACUAGAAUAUGUAGUGUAACGGUGAAAUGCUUAGAUAUUACAGGGAAUACCAAUUGCGAAGGCAGGUUACUAGCAAACGAUUGACGCUGAUGGACGAAAGCGUGGGUAGCGAACA